GAGGGGACGCCAUGCUGACUGGUGCUGUGACCCUCCUGCUCCUGGGACACCUUCCAGCAGGCGGGGCUUCUGCGCCCAGGACAUCCCCACGCCCCGAGAUCUCAGGCACCGCCGUGAGCCAAGAGCUUCACCCUCACUGUGAUGCGGUCUCAUAGUGCUGUCUGAGCUCAUGCUCUUGUCGCCCAGUUGUCGCACAGAUGAGGAAGCUGAGGCUCAAGGAGGACCAGUUACUUGCCUGAGGGCCCAGAGCUAAGAAGUGGCAGACCAGCAUUGGAAUCCUAGCAGCCUGACUUCCAGGAAUUACCACACCAUCAGCCAUCAGCAGAACCCACCAGCCAGCACCUCAUAUGACGUCAGACUCCUGUGUUCUUGUCCUCUUAACAACUACACCAUCUGGAAUAGGUGAGGGCCAGGAACAGCGCUGAGGGAGAAGAAGGCAGGCCGGUUUUGUGUGGCCCAGUGGUGACAGCACCCACAAUCUCCACGACAGCCUCUGCACCGCUUUCCGGGGAACAGGGUCCAGCCAGUUCCUGGGUGUUGUCUGCUUGUGAAGAGGGCCACUGGUUCUCAUGUCACAAAUGUGGAAACCAAGGCACGGGACAGGACUGACAUGGGAGGACUCAGCGAGGUCCACUGCAUCAGAGAGCCGAGGCCAGUGUCCAGCACUUCUGUGCUGAGCGAACGCCCAGGAUGUGCCCAGCACUGUGCCCACCGCGCAGGGCCCUAGGGACACAUCGUGAGACAGGCAGGACACCUCCUCCGAGAGCAGGCUGUCCGUCCGGUGAAGGAGACAAACACCAAGCACGUGAGGAUGCAAAGGAUGUGGCUGUGACAAGGAAGACAAGCACAAAAUGUCAGGGCGGCCACCAGUCCUUGACUCACCGAGUGGUCCUGCAGGGUGACAUUUGGGCUGAGCAGAGGGGACAGGGCCCAGCAAAAGAAAGCGCUUGCACAAAGGCUGUGCUUGGCUUCCAGAGACUUACAGGAAGCCAAAGUGGGGAGCCCGCAGGAUGGGGAGCAUUCAGCUCAUAGAGAAGUCACCAGCUGGGCUGGACCAGGCAGGGGGUGGUUUGGGGCAGCAGCGUGGCGAGCUGACUUUAACAGAUCCCCCUGACUGCCGUGUGGCCACCAACUCUCUAUGAAUUCACCUAAGUGCUUCUAAGCCACUAGUAUUUUUAGCCGGUGCCUCCUCUCUGUGAAAUAAAACUUCCCUUUAUUGGUCUUAAA